AAAAGUCAGGAUACCCUAGGAUAGGAGC
rnacentral:sRNA from 1 species